UGGAUGCUUCCUUGUUGAUCCAUGGUGUGCUGGCAAUCAUUUUUCAGUUGCUAAAAGGUGCCCCUCUUUAUCAUGUUGGAACGUUGGCAAAGUUUUGGUACAUUUUCUCAGAUAUUGGUAAGGAUAUUUUCAAUGCUUGAUUGUAAAGAACGAUCAAUUAGACAGCGUGGUGGGGUCAGUUUGGUAACCUGGCUUUUGGGUAAUGUUGGCCACUUUGUGGGUGGACAGUGGUCUGUAAACAGUUAUUUGUUUGGUGUAAGAUAUUGCUGCUUGAGUCAUAGUGACUAGGCAUUUUGGUCUGUUAUUGGUUAACAGCUGUUCUGCUUGAUAUUAAAGAUUAACGUUUAUUUCAUAAUUAAAAUUGAUUUAAACCCAAUAAAGCGUCUGCGGACUGAACUUUA